rnacentral:ncRNA from 1 species
CGCUCAUCCAGAGGGACAGAGGGAACGGCCCGUUGAAGUCCCGGCAACCAGUCCGCCGACCGCGAGGUAACGGUGGGGACGGUGCCAAUUCCGUCUCACGGCGAAACGCGCCGUGGGGAAGAUGAGGA